GACGAGCUGUGCAAACGUUAUUCGGAAUUACUGGGCUUAAAGAGUUCGUAGGCGGCGCGUUAGGUGGGGUGUGAAAUCCCUCGGCUCAACCGAGGAAUGGCGCUCCAAACCGGCGUGCUUGAGGAAGGUAGAGGUGAGCGGAACUGAUGGUGGAGCGGUGAAAUGCGUUGAUAUCAUCAGGAACACCGGAGGCGAAGGCGGCUCACUGGGCCUUUUCUGACGCUGAGGAACGAAAGCCAGGGUAGCGAACGGGAUUAGAUACCCCGGUAGUCCUGGCUGUAAACGAUGAGCACUAGGUCGAGGGACUCCCACAGCCCCUUGGCCGUAGCGAAAGUGUUAAGUGCUCCGCCUGGGGAGUAUGGUCGCAAGGCUGAA
rnacentral:rRNA from 1 species